UACGUAGGGGGCUAGCGUUGUCCGGAAUCAUUGGGCGUAAAGAGCGUGUAGGCGGUCCGGUAAGUCCGCUGUGAAAGUCGGGGGCUCAACCCUCGAAUGCCGGUGGAUACUGUCGGGCUAGAGUGCGGAAGAGGCGAGUGGAAUUCCUGGUGUAGCGGUGAAAUGCGUAGAUAUCGGAAGGAACACCAGUGGCGAAAGCGGCUUCCUGGUCCAGCACCGACGUUCAGGCACGAAAGCGUGGGGAGCAAACAGG
rnacentral:rRNA from 1 species